CGUGCAGGCGGUCUGGUCAGUUUGGAGUGACAGUGCGCGGCUUAACCGUGCAAGGUCUCCGAAUACUACUGGACUUGAGGACCAGAGAGGGACAUAGAAUUCCGGGUGGAGUGGUGAAAUGCGUAGAUAUCCGGAGGAGUACCGAAGGCGAAGGCAGUGUCCUGGAUGGUACCUGACGCUGAGGCGCGAAAGCCAGGGGAGCGAACAGGAUUAGAUACCCUGGUAGUCCUGGCCGUAAACGAUGACCACCAGAUGUGCGGAGUAUCGACCCUCCGCGUGUCGGAACUAACGUGUUGAGUGGUCCGCCUGGGGAGUACGGUCGCAAGAUUAAA
rnacentral:rRNA from 1 species